rnacentral:rRNA from 1 species
CACUGCCUGCCCAGUGACAAUUGUUUAACGGCCGCGGUAUCCUGACCGUGCAAAGGUAGCAUAAUCAUUUGUUCCCUAAAUAGGGACUUGUAUGAAUGGCCACACGAGGGUUUAACUGUCUCUUACUUCCAAUCAGUGAAAUUGACCUUUCCGUGAAGAGGCGGAAAUACACCAAUUAGACGAGAAGACCCUAUGGAGCUUUAAUUUACCUACUCCAAUAGAAUAAUUAACUACCCGCACAGGGACAACACUAAUUCUUACUGGAUAGAAAAUUUCGGUUGGGGUGACCUCGGAGUAUAAACUAACCUCCGAGAUUUUUACCAAGACUGACAAGUCAAAGUACAAUCCUAUCAAUUGAUCCAGUCUAACUGAUCAACGGAACAAGUUACCCUAGGGAUAACAGCGCAAUCCUAUUCUAGAGUCCUUAUCGACAAUAGGGUUUACGACCUCGAUGUUGGAUCAGGACAUCCCAAUGGUGUAGCAGCUAUUAAUGG